UACUAACAGACAGAGACGGAGUGACUUAAUGACGUGAGUCUGCAGACACUAAGGGGACGGAAACCCCCUAACACUUAGCACUCAUCGUUUACGGCGUGGACUACCAGGGUAUCUAAUCCUGUUUGAUCCCCACGACUUUCGCACAUCAGCGUCAGUUACAGACCAGAAAGUCGCCUUCGCCACUGGUGUUCCUCCAUAUCUCUGCGCAAUUUCACCGCUACACAUGGAAUUCCACUUUCCUCUUCUGCACUCAAGUUUUCCAGUUUCCAAUGACCCUCCACGGUUGAGCCGUGGGCUUUCACAUCAGACUUAAAAAACCGCCUACGCGCGCUUUACGCCCAAUAAUUCCGGAUAACGCUUGCCACCUACGUAUUACCGCGGCUGCUGGCACGUAGUUAGCCGUGGCUUUCUGAUCAGGUACCGUCAAGAUGUGCACAGUUACUUACACAUUUGUUCUUCCCUGAUAACAGAGUUUUACGAUCCGAAGACCUUCAUCACUCACGCGGCGUUGCUCCGUCAGGCUUUCGCCCAUUGCGGAAGAUUCCCUACUGCUGCCUCCCGUAGGAGUCUGGACCGUGUCUCAGUUCCAGUGUGGCCGAUCACCCUCUCAGGUCGGCUACGUAUCGUUGCCUUGGUAAGCCGUCACCUUACCAACUAGCUAAUACGGCGCGGAUCCAUCUAUAAGUGACAGCAAAGCCGCCUUUCACUAUUGAACCAUGCGGUUCAAUAUGUUAUCCGGUAUUU
rnacentral:rRNA from 1 species